rnacentral:rRNA from 1 species
GCAACGACGAAGAACCUUACCAACGGCCUUGACAUGCAGAGAACUUUCCAGAGAUGGAUUGGUGCCUUCGGGAACUCUGACACAGGUGCUGCAUGGCUGUCGUCAGCUCGUGUCGUGAGAUGUUGGGUUAAGUCCCGUAACGAGCGCAACCCUGUCCUUAGUUACCAGCACGUUAUGGUGGGCACUCUAAGGAGACUGCCGGUGACAAACCGGAGGAAGGUGGGGGAUGACGUCAAGUCAUCAUGGCCCUUACGGCCUGGGCUACACACGUGCUACAAUGGUCGGUACAAAGGGUUGCCAAGCCGCGAGGUGGAGCUAAUCCCAUAAAACCGAUCGUAGUCCGGAUCGCAGUCUGCAACUCGACUGCGUGAAGUCGGAAUCGCUAGUAAUCGUGAAUCAGAAUGUCACGGUGAAUACGUUCCCGGGCCUU